rnacentral:lncRNA from 1 species
ACAUUUCCUUUUUGGGUGUCCCAUUAAAAGUGGCUACUUUCUAAAAAUGGCAAAAGUUUACUUUAAUUAAGUCAACAAUUACUCACUAAUUUGGUCAACAAUUGUAGACCACUUUCUAAAAAUGUCAAAAUUACUCACUAAUUUGGUCAACAAUUGUAGGCCACUUUCUAAAAAUUACUCACUAAUUUUGGUGGGUCACACUCAAUUAAAACAUAACAAUCCCCUUCUUAAUCUCCG